rnacentral:rRNA from 1 species
GAUUAACGCUGGCGGCGUGCAUAACACAUGCAAGUCGAACGAUGAAACUCAUUAGAUUUCUUCGGAAUGAAAAUGAAUGGAUUAGUGGCGAACGGGUGAGUAACGCGUGAGUAACCUGCCUUACACAAGGGGAUAGCCUCUGGAAACGGAGAAUAAUACCCUAUGAAACCAGACAAUCGCAUGAUAAUCUGGUCAAAAUGUUUAGUGGUGUAAGAUGGACUUGCGUCUGAUUAGCUAGUUGGUGAGAUAAAAGCUCACCAAGGCAACGAUCAGUAGCCGGCUUGAGAGAGUGUACGGCAACAUUGGGACUGAGACACGGCCCAGACUCCUACGGGAGGCAGCAGUGGGGAAUUUUGCACAAUGGGGGAAACCCUGAUGCAGCGACGCCGCGAGAUUUAGAAGGCCUUCGGGUUGUAAAAAUCUUUUGUAUAGGAAGAAAAUGACAGUACUAUACGAAUAAGGUCCGGCUAAUUACGUG